rnacentral:rRNA from 1 species
UGGGGAAAUUUUCCGCAAUGGGCGAAAGCCUGACGGAGCAAUGCCGCGUGGAGGUGGAAGGCCUACGGGUCGUCAACUUCUUUUCUCGGAGAAGAAACAAUGACGGUAUCUGAGGAAUAAGCAUCGGCUAACUCUGUGCCAA